rnacentral:rRNA from 1 species
UGGCUCAGGACGAACGCUGGCGGCGUGCUUAACACAUGCAAGUCGAACGGGCACUUCGGUGUCAGUGGCGAACGGGUGAGUAAAGCGCAGGUAAUCUGCCGCAAAGACGGGGACAACGUUCCGAAAGGGACGCUAAUACCGGAUGUUGUAAUGAUGUCGCAUGAUGUUAUUACCAAAGAUUUAUCGCUUUGCGAGGAGCCUGCGUCCGAUUAGGUAGUUGGUGGGGUAAGAGCCUACCAAGCCGACGAUCGGUAGCCGGUCUGAGAGGAUGAACGGCCACAAUGGAACUGAGACACGGUCCAUACUCCUACGGGAGGCAGCAGUGGGGAAUAUUCCACAAUGGGGGAAACCCUGAUGGAGCGACGCCGCGUGAGUGAUGAAGGGCUUCGGCUCGUAAAGCUCUUUUCUUCAGGACGAAUGGUCUAUCAGAUAGACAGGGACGGUACUGAGGGAAUAAGCCACGGCUAACUACGUGCCAGCCGCCGC